rnacentral:rRNA from 1 species
UACGGAGGGGGGCUAGCGUUGUUCGGAAUUACUGGGCGUAAAGCGCACGUAGGCGGCUUUGUAAGUUAGAGGUGAAAGCCCGGGGCUCAACCCCAGAAUAGCCUUUAAGACUGCAUCGCUUGAACACGGGAGAGGUGAGUGGAAUUCCGAGUGUAGAGGUGAAAUUCGUAGAUAUUCGGAAGAACACCAGUGGCGAAAGGCGGCUCACUGGACCGUUGUUGACGCUGAGGUGCGAAAGCGUGGGGAGCAAACAGG